AUUUAUUUUAUUACACAGCCAAUUAAGCUCCCUUCCCAUGGACAUAGAUGUACAAUGACUACAAAUAGGAACCUCCUAGGUAUUGUUAUCAACUGGUUGUUUGUACAAGUUGCUCUGAGGGAGCAGACAGCC
ensembl:snoRNA SNORA70 Small nucleolar RNA SNORA70